CAGAUGGGCGUGGCUGUCGGAGGAGUGCUUUACUGAGCUUCAGGUCCUGAAAGGGUUUACGUGCUUAUGCAGGGACCUCCAGUGCCUUUUCAACGGCUCUGUGGACCUCGGACCUCGUGUUGUGUAAAUGACACACUCUUCACUAGCCAGGAUAGUUACAAAGCUUUCUCGUUAUGAAUGAGAGAUACAUGUUUUUAUUGAACAUUUGAACCUAAUACAGCGCAAACUCUUUUAGAGCCCAGAGUUUUACACUAACUGAAAAAAUUGUGUCCCGCCGGGAGGUUGAGGAGGAUGAUCACACACACACCUGCAGCUGAUCAGCUUUGUCUGGGAGAGCUACUUAGAAGAGUGGCUGAGUUCUCGUCAACGCUAGAUCAUUGCGCGGCUGCCUCUGUGAUUUUCCAGGAGGAUUGGGCAGUGAGCACUAGGUACAUGGACACGGACACUGGGAAAGAUACGGCGC
ensembl:lncRNA